CCUUGCGCUUCCCAAGUGAGGCAAUGCCUCGCCCUGCUUCGGCUCGCGCACGGUGCACGCACCCACUGACCUGCGCCCACUGUCUGGCACUCCCUAGUGAGAUGAACCCGGUACCUCAGAUGGAAAUGCAGAAAUCACCCGUCUUCUGCGUCGCUCACGCUGGGAGCUGUAGACCGGAGCUGUUCCUAUUCGGCCAUCUUGGCUCCUCCCUCUGAAGAGUCCAACAGAAAAUUUUAAGUACCUGUUUAAAGCAAUUUACAAGAUACUGUGGAGAUUCCCAGCAAUAAAGAAUGUACUAUAGUUAAGCUGGAAUCCAACUCCUGAAUUUCUGGAGCCCUGAAGACCACUUAGUCUUACUCACAAGAAUUGAAUGGAAUGUGAAUCUACACUCAGGUGAAGCCAGGGUAUUUUGAACGUCCCUACAAGACUGAAGCACCACUGGGAAAUAAGUAAUAGAGAUGCCAUCAUUGUGGAGGUCAUAAUGCUUGUCCUGAACACGAGGGGUCUCUAGUG
rnacentral:lncRNA from 1 species